rnacentral:rRNA from 11 species
GCAGCCAAGCGUUCAUCGCGGCGUUGCUUUUGAUCCUUCGAUA